GUGCUUGCUUUGGCAGCACAUAUACUAAAAUUGGAGUGGAGAUUAGCAUGGCCCCUAGCAUGGCCCCUGUGCAAGGGGCCACACAAAUAUGUGAAAUGUUCCAUAUUUUU